CGUGUAGGCGGCUAAGUAAGUCUGGAGUGAAAGUCCUGCUUUAAGGUGGGAAUUGCUUUGGAUACUGCAUAGCUAGAGUGCAGGAGAGGUAAGUGGAAUUCCCAGUGUAGCGGUGAAAUGCGUAGAGAUUGGGAGGAACACCAGUGGCGAAGGCGACUUACUGGACUGUAACUGACGCUGAGGCGCGAAAGUGUGGGGAGCAAACA
rnacentral:rRNA from 1 species